rnacentral:rRNA from 1 species
AUUGAACGCUGGCGGCAGGCCUAACACAUGCAAGUCGAGCGGAUGAAGGGAGCUUGCUCCUGGAUUCAGCGGCGGACGGGUGAGUAAUGCCUAGGAAUCUGCCUGGUAGUGGGGGAUAACGUCCGGAAACGGGCGCUAAUACCGCAUACGUCCUGAGGGAGAAAGUGGGGGAUCUUCGGACCUCACGCUAUCAGAUGAGCCUAGGUCGGAUUAGCUAGUUGGUGGGGUAAAGGCCUACCAAGGCGACGAUCCGUAACUGGUCUGAGAGGAUGAUCAGUCACCCUGGAACUGAGACACGGUCCAGACUCCUACGGGAGGCAGCAGUGGGGAAUAUUGGACAAUGGGCGAAAGCCUGAUCCAGCCAUGCCGCGUGUGUGAAGAAGGUCUUCGGAUUGUAAAGCACUUUAAGUUGGGAGGAAGGGCGGUAAGUUAAUACCUUGCUGUUUUGACGUUACCAACAGAAUAAGCACCGGCUAACUUCGUG